AGAGUUUGAUCAUGGCUCAGAGCGAACGCUAGCGGCGGGCCUAACACAUGCAAGUCGAGCGCAUACCUUCGGGUAUGAGCGGCGGACGGGUGAGUAACGCGUAGGUCAUCUACCCUUUGGUGGGGGAUAACCCAGGGAAACUUGGGCUAAUACCGCACGAGGUCUACGGAUCAAAGCCUUCGGGCGCCAGAGGAUGAGCCUGCGUCGCAUUACCUAGUUGGCGGGGUAACGGCCCACCAAGGGGACGAUGCGUAGCUGGUCUGAGAGGAUGAUCAGCCACACUGGGACUGAGACACGGCCCAGACUCCUACGGGAGGCAGCAGGUGGGGAAUAUUGCGCAAUGGGGGAAACCCUGACGCAGCCACGCCGCGUGGGUGAUGAAGGCCUUCGGGUUGUAAAGCCCUGUCGGGAGGGACGAAUUCUUGACGGUACCUCCAAAGAAAGCACCGGCUAACUCCGUG
rnacentral:rRNA from 1 species